UGCAGUCGAACGGUAGCAGGCCUUCGGGCGCUGACGAGUGGCGGACGGGUGAGUAACGCGUAGGAAUCUGCCUGGUAGUGGGGGAUAACGUGGGGAAACCCACGCUAAUACCGCAUACGCCCUACGGGGGAAAGGAGGGGAUCUUCGGACCUUUCGCUAUCAGAUGAGCCUGCGUUAGAUUAGCUGGUUGGUGGGGUAAAGGCCUACCAAGGCGACGAUCUAUAGCUGGUCUGAGAGGACGAUCAGCCACACUGGGACUGAGACACGGCCCAGACUCCUACGGGAGGCAGCAGUGGGGAAUAUUGGACAAUGGGCGCAAGCCUGAUCCAGCAAUACCGCGUGUGUGAAGAAGGCCUGAGGGUUGUAAAGCACUUUCAAUGGGGAGGAAAACCCGCCUGCCAAUACCCGGCGGCUUGACAUUACCUAUAGAAGAAGCACCGGCUAACUCCGUGCCAGCAGCCGCGGUAAUACGGAGGGUGCGAGCGUUAAUCGGAAUUACUGGGCGUAAAGCGUGCGUAGGCGGUGCGUUAAGUCAGAUGUGAAAGCCCUGGGCUUAACCUGGGAACGGCAUUUGAAACUGGCGCACUCGAGUUGGGUAGAGGGGAGUGGA
rnacentral:rRNA from 1 species